UGGGGAAUAUUGCACAAUGGGCGAAAGCCUGAUGCAGCAACGCCGCGUGAGUGAUGAAGGUCUUCGGAUUGUAAAGCUCUGUCUUUUGGGACGAUAAUGACGGUACCAAAGGAGGAAGCCACGGCUAACUACGUGCCAGCAGCCGCGGUAAUACGUAGGUGGCGAGCGUUGUCCGGAUUUACUGGGCGUAAAGGGUGCGUAGGCGGAUGUUUAAGUGAGAUGUGAAAUACCCGGGCUUAACUUGGGUGCUGCAUUUCAAACUGGAUAUCUAGAGUGCAGGAGAGGAGAAUGGAAUUCCUAGUGUAGCGGUGAAAAUGCGUAGAGAUUAGGAAGAACACCAGUGGCGAAGGCGAUUCUCUGGACUGUAACUGACGCUGAGGCACGAAAAGCGUGGGUAGCAAACAGGAUUAGAUACCCUGGUAGUCCACGCCGUAAAACGAUGAGUACUAGGUGUAGGAGGUAUCGACCCCUUCUGUGCCGCAGUAAAACACAUUAAAGUACUC
rnacentral:rRNA from 1 species